rnacentral:rRNA from 1 species
UACGUAGGCAGCAAGCGUUGUUCGGAGUUACUGGGCGUAAAGCGUGCGUAGGUGGUUUUUUAAGUCCGUUGUGAAAGCCCCGGGCUCAACCUGGGAAUGGCCGUUGAAACUGGCGAACUGGAGUGUGGCAGAGGGGGGUGGAAUUCCGCGUGUAGCAGUGAAAUGCGUAGAGAUGCGGAGGAACACCGAUGGCGAAGGCAGCCCCCUGGGCUGACACUGACGCUCAGGCACGAAAGCGUGGGGAGCAAACAGG